rnacentral:rRNA from 1 species
CCUACGGGAGGCAGCAGUGGGGAAUAUUGCACAAUGGGGGAAACCCUGAUGCAGCGACGCCGCGUGAGCGAUGAAGUAUCUCGGUAUGUUAAGCCCUAUCAGCAGGGAAGAAAAUGACGGUACCUGACUAAGAAGCCCCGGCUAACUACGUGCCAGCAGCCGCGGUAAUACGUAGGGGGCAAGCGGUAACCGGAUUUACUGGGUGUAAAGGGAGCGUAGACGGGGAUGCAAGCUAGAUGUGAAAGCCCCGGGCUCAACCCCGGGAGUGCAUUUGGAACUGUAUAGCUGGAGUGGCAGAGAGGCACGCGGAAUGCGUAGUGUAGCGGUGAAAUGCGUAGAUAUUAGGAAGAACACCGGUUGCGAAGGCGGCCUGCUGGACGAAGACUGACGUUGAGGCACGAAAGCGUGGGGAGCGAACAGGAUUAGAUACCCCUGUAGUC